GCGCGGUCUGCCUCCCGCGGCGGGCCGGGUCUCCAGGGAGGACCUGAGUUUUCUUCACCCAUGGUCAGGGAAGCGCCAUCGCCCUGGCUUUGAGGCUGGGGCCUCCGGGGAGGUUCCGGUAGGGGCUUUGAAGAGGCCGCUGUUUUUGCAAGGCCGAGACGGCGGGCCCUGCGCAGGCCGCCCUAUUCCGCGCCCUCAGGGCGUCAGUAUCCGCCUGAGGCCGGAUACCCCCUCUGGGCCCGGAUGCCCCCGCUGGCCCCGGAGCAUCCUCGGCGCUGCCCUCCCAGAGCCCCGCAGAGGCUGAGGUGGCGCGGGGGCGGCCCCGGCUCCGCGAGAAGCGGCGGCAGCGAGGGCUGGAGGACCCGGGCUACGGGGCUCCGGGGCGUCUGGCCUGGUUGGGACUGAGCCCAUCCAGGGACUGGGACUCUGGGAUUCUGGUGUAGGUGGAUCCGGGGCAGGCUCAGGACCAAGUCCCUCUCCUUCCACCAAGGAGCGCCCAGAGGCCGGCGGGAGCUCCAGGUUCACCUCCUCCUCCUCCAGGAAAUCUCACUUCCAACUGGAUGUCUGGAUGAACUACUGAAAGCUGCUGAGUGUCCUGCAGCAGCUUGACUACCACACAAAUGAAUCCACUCAAAUGUUGGCAAGUGGAGCAGAGUCCCAGGACAGAUCACAUUCUUAACCUCUAGAGAGCCUGGCAGGACCAGAGCCUUACCUUUCCCAGUCUGCAAUCUCUACAGGUACAGAAACACCCCCAGUUCAAGGAUCUUCACACCUGGAUUUAGGCCUACUCCUGCAACUACCCCAGAACCUGGAAUUUAUAUGUUCAACAUGGAGCCAUCCCAGCCAUGACAACAGAGAAUGUACCACUCUCAC
rnacentral:lncRNA from 1 species